rnacentral:rRNA from 1 species
CAGAUAUCAGGAGGAACACCGAUGGCGAAGGCAGGUCUCUGGGCAUUAACUGACGCUGAGGAGCGAAAGCAUGGGGAGCGAACAGGAUUAGAUACCCUGGUAGUCCAUGCCGUAAACGUUGGGCACUAGGUGUGGGGGACAUUCCACGUUUUCCGCGCCGUAGCUAACGCAUUAAGUGCCCCGCCUGGGGAGUACGGCCGCAAGGCUAAAACUCAAAGGAAUUGACGGGGGCCCGCACAAGCGGCGGAGCAUGCGGAUUAAUUCGAUGCAACGCGAAGAACCUUACCAAGGCUUGACAUGAACCGGAAAUACCUGGAAACAGGUGCCCCGCUUGCGGUCGGUUUACAGGUGGUGCAUGGUUGUCGUCAGCUCGUGUCGUGAGAUGUUGGGUUAAGUCCCGCAACGAGCGCAACCCUCGUUCUAUGUUGCCAGCGCGUUAUGGCGGGGACUCAUAGGAGACUGCCGGGGUCAACUCGGAGGAAGGUGGGGACGACGUCAAAUCAUCAUGCCCCUUAUGUCUUGGGCUUCACGCAUGCUACAAUGGCCGGUACAAAGGGUUGCGAUACUGUGAGGUGGAGCUAAUCCCAAAAAGCCGGUCUCAGUUCGGAUUGGGGUCUGCAACUCGACCCCAUGAAGUCGGAGUCGCUAGUAAUCGCAGAUCAGCAACGCUGCGGUGAAUACGUUCCCGGGCCUUGUACACACCGCCCGUCAAGUCACGAAAGUUGGUAACACCCGAAGCCGGUGGCCUAACCCCUUGUGGGAGGGAGCUGUCGAAGGUGGGACUGGCGAUUGGGACUAAG